rnacentral:rRNA from 1 species
CCUACGGGAGGCAGCAGUGAGGAAUCUUGGUCAAUGGACGAGAGUCUGAACCAGCAACGUAGCGUGAAGGAUGACUGCCCUAUGGUUUGUAAACUUCUUUUAUAUGGGAAUAAAAUGUUCCUCGUGUGUGACUUUUUUUUUACCAUAUUAAUUUGGAUAGGCUAACUCCGCGCCAGCAGCCGCGGUAAUACGGAGGGUCCGAGCGUUAUCCGGAUUUAUUGGGUUUAAAGGGAGCGUCGGGUGGUUGUUAAGUCAGUUGUGAAAGUUUACGGCUCAACCGUAAAAUUGUAGUUGAAACUGGCAGUCUUGAGUACAGGAGAGGUGAGCGGAAUUCGUGGUGUAGCGGUGAAAUGCUUAGAUAUCACGAAGAACUCCGAUUGCGAAGGCAGAUCACUGGACUGCAACUGACACUGAGGCUCGAAAGUGUGGGUAUCAAACAGGAUUAGAUACCCGGGUAGUC